GGAGGUGGUUCCAAGGGUAGGGAAGCUAUCGACGCAUCCAUCGCCUCCCCCAAUCCAACACCUUGCUUAACCGCGCAUGUUCCCCGACCCACUCUCGAGGCUCACCGGCGUCGCCACCGGCUGCAGACUGCUCCCAGCUUGCCCUCCCUCUCUCUGAUCGCUUCUACCAUCUUCGCGUAAGUCCUGCAAGCUCUCUCCCUCUCUCUCUCUGUGGAACAUCAGCUCGCUUCGGGGACGAGGGGAGGAGAACCUGUGCAGGCGAACGAGGUUCAAUCUUCUAGCCCGGUUCUCAUAUGUGUUUGAGUCGAGGUGGAAGGACAAUGAUGUUAUAUGACGCUUUAUUAACCUAGAACACCGACCCGUGUCCGUGUUACGGUGGCGUCUCUGUCUCCCAUUCGCCUGCUCCUUCCGUCAGGUUCCAAGGUUUCUCUGUCCUUGAUGGUCCGAUAAUUAUUAUUUUGCAGAUCCUGACUAGGAGAUCAUCUAAAGGGGCAAGUGGCAGAGUUCCAAUCUUAUGAGAUGGAGCGGAUGCAUAUCAAAGAGAAGAUUGUCCAAUCCAGAUUUGCUUCCUUCGCUAACUGCAGAUAUGUAAAUCUUACCAAUUAGUUGAAAUUCACAUGGAUGUGCAGAUUGAUUUUAUCAGGAUGUUCGAAUGCAUUAUUUCUUCAACUUUGUGGUUUAAAAUUAUUUUUCACAUACAUGAUGUAGGCAACUUUGAAUCUUGGAGCCUUAGCAAGGGCACAUGCAAGUUACUGUUUCCAAUGGUUACGAGCAUCUCCUAUUUGCAAGACGAUGACAAGCAUGUUUCUGAAGAUGUGAAUAUCAGGGAUCUAGAUAUGACAAGCUGCGAGGCAAAUGGUCUUCAGCUUUACCGACCUCCACAAAGGCUGAACCAUGUUUAUCUGCUAGAGAUGGGAAAUUGGACAUUCUGAAUUCUUUUUUAUGCCCGGGGCAUUCAUGUAAGAAAUAUGUUUUGAAGUAUGUAGCCUAUGUUUUUCUUUGAUAUUCGUAAAUAACACCGAAGUUUUUUACUUGCACAAAGUGUUUAUCCAUGAUAAGUGCUAACAAUGAUGGUAAGCUGCACUUGAAAACAGAAGCUUCACGGGUGGCACAAAGGGCAGCUGAAGCUUUACUUCAAUCAUGAUUUUUUUCCUUCAUGUUUUGGUCUGAAAUUUUCAUUCUGCAUUUCCCUUUGUACGUAUAUACUGCCAUGGAAAUUUUGAAGUAAAUACGAUGUAGAAGCAUAACUUAGAUUGAACUAUUGGGUAGUCUAACUGAAUUGGUAGAGUUGUAGGACAAAGCAUACUAGGUGUAUUUCUAUGGUAUAAGCAGCUGAAGGUGAGCAUACAUGCUUCGACAGUUUUUUUGUACAGAAAAAGCUAUUGGUGGGGGAGGGGGGGGGGCUUAUUUGGCUUAUACUCAAGUGCUUCUGUUGGGAGGAGGAAAACUUGUUUGGGUUAUGCUCAAAUGCUUCUGAAAACUGAAAUUCUUCAUACUUUUAGAAUUUCAGUAAUGCAUAUAUAAGAGCACACACUUGAUUAAUUUUGUGUGGAGAGGACGCUUUACAUUGUUUCUGAUAGUGACUUUACUACUUUAAGGUGAAGUAAAUGUUUGAUUAAAGUGAUACAACUUAAGAGCUUUGACUAUUCUCAAUUUGUCAUUAAAUCUAUACUUUGAUAAUGUAAUAUUUUUUCAUUUACUUCCAAUACUUCAUAAUGAUGCACAAAGAAUAUGGGUGACGACAAAGCUUUAUACUGUUUAUGCACAAACAAGUAGGGCGUCCGGUUAAGUGCUCCCUUCUGAUUCAUAUUUAUUCGCUAGCAGUUGGUGCAGCAGGGAUAUUUAGGAUCCAUUCUAUUUCUGAUCAUUUUCAGUUAGGAGGCUAUGAGAUUAUUGUAGGCCCCACUGUGUCAUUAAAUAGGUAUUUUUCUUUCUUAUCUUGCUCUAUUUUCUGUUUUGUGCUUUAAAUUGUUUCUAUAUGUCACCCACUUAAUCUAAGGCUGUCCACAAUCAAUUGUUUUCUUUCAGUAGGAUUUUGCUGUACUCCUGAAAAUCCAUGGGCAAAUAGUACUAUGUUCAGUUGAGAGAAGUAGUUCACGACACAUGGAAAUAUUUAUGGACGCUGAAUUAUAGUGUCAUUGUCGCCAUCGUCAAUGCUAAGUCUAUUUACACUUUGGAUUAUGGGCUGCUAAUAUCUUUUGGUUUUCUUAUCUUUUUGUUCUGUGACUACUUUUCUGUAAUGGCAUGAACUCUUACUUUUGUUUCUAAAGAUUAACCUGUCGUCAUUGCUAACUUAGUGUUCCUAUUUCAGCCAUGUAUUGUUGGGGAUUCAGUGAUUUCAGGCUACCAGUAAUUUCUUCUAUUUUUCAGGUUAAGCACAAUGAAUGGUUCCUACACAUAACUGUUUUAGUUCUCCUUAUUGAGCAUAACAAUUAGUCUCCAACUGCUCUCCAACAAUCUUUUUAGCUCCUUGGUUAAGUACAGAUAGGGGUGUAGGGCAUCAUUCCGCAUAAGCCUCCAAAAGCACGGUGUUAAUUCAAACUGAACUACAUCACUAAAAAACUGCUAUAACUAACCUGACCUGUUUUGCCUAUGGAGCAGGACGGACCAGGUGCCGCUCUGCAUCCCUAAGGACAAAGAAUUGGUAGGUCCUUAUUUCUAUUGCUAAUGACGAGAUGAUGCUACCAUUAAGAAAGGUUGCUGCUUCAUUUUCCUUUUAACUUUCUGAAUGUUUUUGCAACCAACCAUUCUUUUACAUGUAUUUAAGAUGCGUUGCUAGAUGCGAGUGGUAUGUGCAAAUAUACAAGCUACUAAUUUGUUCUACUAUGGGCAUGGCGUUAUAAUUAGCCAUUUUCGUAGUUACUAUAGUUUGUUUCUCUUACAUUAAGCGAAAGGUAUAUUUCAUUGCCCCUGUCUCUGUCCCCGCCUUAAUCACUAUAUAGAAUGUAGCCAUGUUUUAGACAGUUAUCCGAGUUUAUAAUUUACUCGGUUACUGGAGGGAUACUUGGAUGUGUGGACUUGAAAAGGGACAUUCAGAGACAAAAAUGCAAAUGUUUGAGUAGGCAAUAACUAUGAUGUAUUCAAGUAUCCUCCGGAUGAACAAAAUUGAGUCAUAUGAUGUCGGUUUCUUGACAUCAAUACCACGCCAGACUCCUGUGAGAUCGAUGCUGUUGUACAUGUGCAACACAUCAUACAGUGUGGUGCCAACAAGAUUAGCCCAAACUUUAAUUGUUUUGAUUUAAUUUCCGGGACUAGCUAAGAGCAGGCCAGUGGAAAGAUGAUGGAUAAUUACCAUUUUGGGACUAGCUAAUGCUAACGUAUUGCCCAUGUAUGUUCCCAUAUCCCAUGUGUGUUCCCAUAUAUACUUAC
rnacentral:rRNA from 1 species